UAGCUUUGGUCUGGGCUCUCCUCCUCUCAUUAGUCAGCGAUCUGCAGCUCCCUGAGGAGCAUCGCGGCUAUGCAUCCUCCUGUGGCGCCCUGCUGCCAGGGUAAUUAGUGCCCAGCAUAGCGUUGCCAAGGAAUGCCACAAUGCCAGUGUGAUUCUGCAUUACCAGUGAUCAAUUUUAGGAAAGAAGGAAAACGAUUUACAAACCCAACAAAUUAGACAUGAAGCAACAGAGAUGUCAUUGUGAGGUCAGGUUCAGACUGGGGUUUUCCUGUCUGAAAGGGAAUCCAGUGAACAGAAGGGGGCACUAUAACAAAAUGACAAACACCUUUUCAAUCUAAAAUGAGUCACAAAGUCUGACAAAGAAGGAAAAAAUUUUAUUAAACAUUGUAAGACAUCCAUGAUAGUAUGGUGCCCCCGAAGAUAAUCAAGGAUCC